UUUUAUGGAGAGUUUGAUCCUGGCUCAGGAUGAACGCUGGCGGCGUGCCUAAUACAUGCAAGUCGAGCGAACGGACGAGAAGCUUGCUUCUCUGAUGUUAGCGGCGGACGGGUGAGUAACACGUGGAUAACCUACCUAUAAGACUGGGAUAACUUCGGGAAACCGGAGCUAAUACCGGAUAAUAUUUUGAACCGCAUGGUUCAAAAGUGAAAGACGGUCUUGCUGUCACUUAUAGAUGGAUCCGCGCUGCAUUAGCUAGUUGGUAAGGUAACGGCUUACCAAGGCAACGAUGCAUAGCCGACCUGAGAGGGUGAUCGGCCACACUGGAACUGAGACACGGUCCAGACUCCUACGGGAGGCAGCAGUAGGGAAUCUUCCGCAAUGGGCGAAAGCCUGACGGAGCAACGCCGCGUGAGUGAUGAAGGUCUUCGGAUCGUAAAACUCUGUUAUUAGGGAAGAACAUAUGUGUAAGUAACUGUGCACAUCUUGACGGUACCUAAUCAGAAAGCCACGGCUAACUACGUGCCAGCAGCCGCGGUAAUACGUAGGUGGCAAGCGUUAUCCGGAAUUAUUGGGCGUAAAGCGCGCGUAGGCGGUUUUUUAAGUCUGAUGUGAAAGCCCACGGCUCAACCGUGGAGGGUCAUUGGAAACUGGAAAACUUGAGUGCAGAAGAGGAAAGUGGAAUUCCAUGUGUAGCGGUGAAAUGCGCAGAGAUAUGGAGGAACACCAGUGGCGAAGGCGACUUUCUGGUCUGUAACUGACGCUGAUGUGCGAAAGCGUGGGGAUCAAACAGGAUUAGAUACCCUGGUAGUCCACGCCGUAAACGAUGAGUGCUAAGUGUUAGGGGGUUUCCGCCCCUUAGUGCUGCAGCUAACGCAUUAAGCACUCCGCCUGGGGAGUACGACCGCAAGGUUGAAACUCAAAGGAAUUGACGGGGACCCGCACAAGCGGUGGAGCAUGUGGUUUAAUUCGAAGCAACGCGAAGAACCUUACCAAAUCUUGACAUCCUUUGACAACUCUAGAGAUAGAGCCUUCCCCUUCGGGGGACAAAGUGACAGGUGGUGCAUGGUUGUCGUCAGCUCGUGUCGUGAGAUGUUGGGUUAAGUCCCGCAACGAGCGCAACCCUUAAGCUUAGUUGCCAUCAUUAAGUUGGGCACUCUAAGUUGACUGCCGGUGACAAACCGGAGGAAGGUGGGGAUGACGUCAAAUCAUCAUGCCCCUUAUGAUUUGGGCUACACACGUGCUACAAUGGACAAUACAAAGGGCAGCGAAACCGCGAGGUCAAGCAAAUCCCAUAAAGUUGUUCUCAGUUCAGAUUGUAGUCUGCAACUCGACUACAUGAAGCUGGAAUCGCUAGUAAUCGUAGAUCAGCAUGCUACGGUGAAUACGUUCCCGGGUCUUGUACACACCGCCCGUCACACCACGAGAGUUUGUAACACCCGAAGCCGGUGGAGUAACCUUUUAGGAGCUAGCCGUCGAAGGUGGGACAAAUGAUUGGGGUGAAGUCGUAACAAGGUAGCCGUAUCGGAAGGUGCGGCUGGAUCACCUCCUUUCUAA
rnacentral:rRNA from 1 species